rnacentral:rRNA from 1 species
AUUGAACGCUGGCGGCAGGCCUAACACAUGCAGGUCGAGCGGAUGAAGGGAGCUUGCUCCUGGAUUCAGCGGCGGACGGGUGAGUAAUGCCUAGGAAUCUGCCUGGUAGUGGGGGAUAACGUCCGGAAACGGGCGCUAAUACCGCAUACGUCCUGAGGGAGAAAGUGGGGGAUCUUCGGACCUCACGCUAUCAGAUGAGCCUAGGUCGGAUUAGCUAGUUGGUGGGGUAAAGGCCUACCAAGGCGGCGAUCCGUAACUGGUCUGAGAGGCUGAUCAGUCACACUGGAACUUGGACACGGUCCAGACUCCUACGGGAGGCAGCAGAGGGGAAUAUUGGACAAUGGGCGAAAGCCUGAUCCAGCCAUGCCGCGUGUGUGAAGAAGGUCUUCGGAUUGUAAAGCACUUUAAGUUGGGAGGAAGGGCAGUAAGUUAAUACCUUGCUGUUUUGACGUUACCAACAGAAUAAGCACCGGCUAACUUCGUG